UUAUGUUUGCUGUUGAAGAAAAAAAUCCAGAAUACAUAAUGUUGUUGUUUGAGUUAAAUAAAACUAUUUAAAUGUCUGUCUGGUGAUGUUCUCCUCCUAAUACAGCAUGGCAAGAAAAUCCUCCAAAUAUUAAUAAUUGACCUGUUGAAUUGGAGAUGUUUAAGAAGUCAUUC